AGCAGCCGCGGUAAUUCCAGCUCCAAUAGCGUAUAUUAAAGUUGUUGCAGUUAAAAAGCUCGUAGUUGAAUUUCGAGAUCGGUUUAUUGGUCGUGCUAUUGUACGUACUGGUAUUACCGGUUUCUCCUUUCUGACGAACCUUAAUGCCAUUAAUUUGGUGUUUUGGGAAAUCAGGACUGUUACUUUGAAAAAAUUAGAGUGUUUAAAGCAGGCUCACGCUUGAAUACAUUAGCAUGGAAUAACGGAAUAGGACGUUUGAUUCUAUUUUGUUGGUUUCUAGGAUCGACGUAAUGAUUAAUAGGGAUAGUUGGGGGCAUUAGUAUUCAAUUGUCAGAGGUGAAAUUCUUGGAUUUAUUGAAGACUAACUACUGCGAAAGCAUUUGCCAAGGAUGUUUUCAUUAAUCAAGAACGAAAGUUAGGGGAUCGAAGACGAUCAGAUACCGUCGUAGUCUUAACCAUAAACUAUGCCGACUAGGGAUCGGAUGAUGUUAAUUUUUAAUGACUCAUUCGGCGCCUUACG
rnacentral:rRNA from 1 species